ACAACUGCGGUCGGCUGAAGGUUACGGGCGGGUGAAGUGACGGCUCGAGCGGGACAUCGGCUAAGGCCGAUGAAUUCAAUACACGUCCAUGCUGGGGAGAGUGCCAGCUUCCAAUUCCUUAACUAAUUGCCUGCAGGCUAAGCGAGCUCUUGAAACAGCCAUCAACAAUAUCAUUCAGGCUGAAAAGGAAAUAAAAGCAAACAGCCAUGAGGCUUGGAGGCAUCGUCAGGGCCUUGAGCACUGGCUCCUUCCUGUUGAGCAGAAGGCCAAACCUAACAAGGAAGCCGCUGCACGUGAACGUUCUGAAUCAUCUGGUAGUUCUUCCAGUUUUGAGAUGCUGCCUGGCCUGCUGCGUUCACCAGCAUUUUGUGUCCAUUGCUUGAAUUCCCAGCAUCUGCAGAUUUGCUCGUGUUUACCUGAAUUUCCCUCAGGGUUUCUCUUGGUC